rnacentral:rRNA from 1 species
UACGGGGGGGGCAAGCGUUGUUCGGAAUUACUGGGCGUAAAGGGCUCGUAGGUGGCCAACUAAGUCAGACGUGAAAUCCCCAGGCUCAACUUGGGAACUGCGUCUGAUACUGGAUGGCUUGAAUUCGGGAGAGGGAUGCAGAAUUCCAGGUGUAGCGGUGAAAUGCGUAGAUAUCGGGAGGAACACCAGUGGCGAAGGCGGCUACCUGGCCCAAUACUGACACUCAGGUGCGACAGCGUGGGGAGCAAACAGG